rnacentral:misc_RNA from 1 species
AAAGUCGUAACAAGGUUUCCGUAGGUGAACCUGCGGAAGGAUCAUUAACACGUAUCCAUACGUAUUAUAUACCAAACCGUGAACUUGUUUGUAAAUAAAUGAAGAAAGUGGUGAAAAAAAAGGGAAACUUGCUUUCCCCCUAAUUUACUAUUUUCUGUACCUUAUUUCAACUUAUAAACCACUUGUAACCAUUUGUACUAAACAUCUAAGAAAGUGUGAGCCUAAUAAACUCGCAUUUUUUUGUAUUUACGAAACGUAAAAACAAUUCUUAGCAACGGAUAUCUUGGUUCUC